rnacentral:tRNA from 1 species
GCCUUCGUGGUGUAGUGGGUAGCAUGCUCGACGCGUAACCGAGAGGUCCGUGGUUCGAUUCCCGGUAGAGGCG